CUCCAAAUCUUCCCCUCUUUCAUAAUUCUAGCUUUGUUUUGGGUGGGAGUUAUUGGGGAGAGAGAUAUCAACCCUCCAAAAUUCGCCCCUUUUGGUGAGAGUUGGGGUUUUGGGGUGAUUCCCUCCAUUGAAGCUUGAGGAGCCAUCAAUCCUUGGUUGUGUGACCAUUGGUGGAUUGAGACAUUUGGACCAACCGUGAGUGAUCAACCAUUGGAGCAAGCUAUGGAGCUUGAAUAGCUCAUUGGAAUUGGUGUUGGUUUUGGAGUAGAGUAUUGUUGACAUUGGUGAAGAACAAAGGUCGACUGAAGCAUUGAGGUAAGGAUGCUGCAGGAGCCUCUGGUGGCAAGUGGCCAUAUCUGGAUUAUGCAUGAAAUGUGGCAUUUCUUUUGAGUUUAUGCAUGCCUUUUGUAGUUGACAUGUAUAGGAUUUUAUUUUGAAAGCCCAUGGUCAUUUGUAUAUCUUGAUUCAUUGGAUGAAC